GAGAUCACUAUGGUGACUUGUAAGCAACUCAUUGUAUUUUGAUGUCAGAUUAUCUAAAAUUUUAAUUCAGUGAUGGAAGGUUUCUAGGCAUAGUCAAGUACUUAUGGUAGUCGGUGUAUGAGUCAAGAUAGGAUUGACCCCUCCAGAUUACUGGAGUUAAUGCAUCACUGUGUUUCAAUUUAGUAAAAUCUGAGUCCAGGUAAUCCAUGU
rnacentral:lncRNA from 1 species